UACGGAGGGUGCAAGCGUUAAUCGGAAUUACUGGGCGUAAAGCGCACGCAGGUGGCUGAGUCAGUCGAUUGUGAAAGCCCUGGGCUUAACCUGGGAAUUGCAGUCGAUACUACUCAGCUAGAGUAUGGGAGAGGGUAGUGGAAUUCCCGGUGUAGCGGUGAAAUGCGUAGAUAUUGGGAGGAACACCGGUGGCGAAGGCGGCUACCUGGACCGGUACUGACGCUGAGGCGCGAAAGCUAGGGUAGCAAACAGG
rnacentral:rRNA from 1 species